CCCAGUCAAGAAUGCCGCAUGAGACCUGCGGGAGGACAUUAACGAGUUUUGAAAUGGGUUGUAGCUGGCCUCCCGAGGCAUGUGCACACCCUGCUCAAUCCACUCUACAACUGUGCAUGAACUGUAGUGCUUCGGAGGCGAAAGCGGGCUUUGUGGCUCGUCGUAGUCUCUGGGCCUAUGUCUUAUUACAAACACAUUAUAAGUAUUAGAAAGUCCAUUGCGACGUAACGCAUCUAUGUACAACUUUCAGCAACGGAUCUCUUGGCUCUCGCAUCGAUGAAGAACGCAGCGAAAUGCGAUAAGUAAUGUGAAUUGCAGAAUUCAGUGAAUCAUCGAAUCUUUGAACGCACCUUGCGCUCCUUGGUAUUCCGAGGAGCAUGCCUGUUUGAGUGUCAUGAAAUUCUCAACUCGUAACCCUUUGUGGGUUUAUGAGGUUGGACUUGGAGGCUUGUUGGCCUAGUCGGUCGGCUCCUCUUAAAUGCAUUAGCUUGAUUCCUUGCGGAUCGGCUCUCGGUGUGAUAGUUGUUUUGCGCCGUGACCGUGAAGCGUUUGGCGAGCUUCUAAUUGUCUCUUGUGAGACAACUGAUUGACCUCUGACCUCAAAUCAGGUAGGACUACCCGCUGAACUUAAGCAUAUCAAUAAGCGGAGG
rnacentral:rRNA from 1 species